AGGACGUCUCCCGAUACUUGAAGACCCAACGCUACGACUUCUCCUCCCCCGUGAAGAUAGCUGAAGCAUUUGCAGCGAUGAGAAAGGAGAAAAACAGCAAAGCAUUAGAAGCCGCCAGGAGAGAAUAUGAACAAUUUGUGCAGGAGCUGGACCGUGGCCACCAGAGUAUAAACUGCUGCCUGAGGGUGAAGCCUGAGGAGAUGAAGAGACGGCUGGAGGGGAAACGCAAGGGAGCUGCUGAAGCAUUGCCAGGGGCAGCUGUGGGGCGAGGACACCCAGAAACAGGCUGCCCUGAAGGUGCUGGAGCAGGGGCUGGCCGGGAAGACGUCCAAGUUCCUAACGGCCUACGGACAGCGCUUUAAAGAGAAGGCUGUGCGGUUGGGCCUGUACAUUGGAGGGAGUGUCCUGGCUGUGGUGGGUGCGGGUGUUGUGGCAGGCAUCAGCCCAAGUUUGGUGGUCAAGGUCGGAGCAGGGGGCCUUGUCUUGAUCAGGAGGAUGGUGGGAAGAUGGGUGUGGGGCUAAUUUGGUUUUAGAAUACAACAGGCACCAACGCCCCAGGGCAGGGGAAUGAGGGGCAGGAUAUUAAGAUCAGGAGCCCCUGCUGCGGGGUGACAGAUAGUGGGGAAGAACCAUCACACCCCACCCCAUGCAAGACUCUGUCCCAGCCCUCAGCACUGGGAACCUCUGUA